UGCCAAGAUUCAGGUCGGAAACUUGUAUCUCUCAGCCUCCAGAUUAGGGCCAGUCUGCUAGCCGGCCUAUGCGAACCUGGAAGUUCCACCUCUUCCUCACAGCCAUUGGCUCCCAGCAUCUUUAAGGAUCGAUCAAGAACCAAUUGGGGCCAGGACCUUCAGCGUUCGCACACAGAUUCCUUGAUCAGAGCAUCAAAACCAAAACUACACCUUACACACCACCAUGCCUGGCAUCAAGCUUUCUUCUUAAAAGAGAACAGUACUACCUGACCAGCAUAUCCAGCUACAUCGACUCUGUCACCACACACCUAAGUCAUCAUGGCUCAAAUGCUCAGUGGUGCCACAGACACCAGCAAGUCCUGUGAGCAGGACUCUUUAUAAUCAAAACUCUAUUUGUAUAGACAAGCAAGUGACCUGCCAACCAGAGUUCACAGCUCCUUCUAUGUGGCAGUACCCUUGCCCAUUUUUGCCUUACAGACUGACUAUUUCAGGACUCCAGGACAGGAAUCUCAUUGAAUCAUCCCAGUUCUGGAUUAAAUUAAUUAUAUUCUCAA